rnacentral:rRNA from 1 species
UGGGGAAUAUUGGACAAUGGGCGAAAGCCUGAUCCAGCAAUGCCGCGUGAGUGAUGAAGGCCUUAGGGUUGUAAAGCUCUUUUACCCGGGAUGAUAAUGACAGUACCGGGAGAAUAAGCUCCGGCUAACUCCGUGCCAGCAGCCGCGGUAAUACGGAGGGAGCUAGCGUUGUUCGGAAUUACUGGGCGUAAAGCGCACGUAGGCGGCUUUGUAAGUUAGAGGUGAAAGCCUGGAGCUCAACUCCAGAACUGCCUUUAAGACUGCAUCGCUUGAAUCCAGGAGAGGUGAGUGGAAUUCCGAGUGUAGAGGUGAAAUUCGUAGAUAUUCGGAAGAACACCAGUGGCGAAGGCGGCUCACUGGACUUGGUAUUGACGCUGAGGUGCGAAAGCGUGGGGAGCAAAACA